rnacentral:rRNA from 1 species
UACGGAGGGGACUAGCGUUGUUCGGAUUUACUGGGCGUAAAGAGCGCGUAGGCGGUUUAUUAAGUUGGAAGUGAAAGCCCAGGGCUCAACCCUGGAACUGCUUCCAAAACUGAUAAGCUAGAGUAUGGGAGGGGACAGUGGAAUUCCUAGUGUAGAGGUGAAAUUCUUAGAUAUUAGGAGGAACACCGGUGGCGAAAGCGACUGUCUGGAACAUUACUGACGCUGAGGUGCGAAAGCGUGGGGAGCAAACGGG